GUGUCAGCAGCCGCGGUAAGACGAACCGUGCGAACGUUGUUCGGAAUCACUGGGCUUAAAGGGCGCGUAGGCGGCCGGGUUGGUCGUGGGUGAAAUCCCCCAGCUUAACUGGGGAACUGCCUACGAUACUGCCUGGCUCGAGGGAGGAAGGGGCGGUCGGAACUGUCGGUGGAGCGGUGAAAUGCGUUGAUAUCGACAGGAACGCCGGUGGCGAAAGCGGACCGCUGGCCCUCUUCUGACGCUGAGGCGCGAAAGCCAGGGGAGCGAACGGGAUUAGAAACCCGCGUAGUCC
rnacentral:rRNA from 1 species